UUGGGUGUGCUACUAGGUUUGCUUGACUUUUUUUCUCUGGUCUUUGCUUCAUCAUCUCCUCCUCCGCUAUUUUCUGCUCUCCUCUUUUACAUUUAGGAAACAUAUUACCAUGAAUCCUUUUCUAGUCUCUUCAAUUUCUGUCUUACUUUUGCUGGUAAAGGAGACAACCUUUUGAUGAACAACUGAAGGAAAACUAGUACAUUAGCAAGAUCUAGAGCCAAGAUAUAAUGUCUGAUAAUGAUACACAAUCAUUUUCGGAUUGUGAUGGUAGAACCGGGAAGUCCAUACAUUCAGUUCAAUCUGUUUGGAUGGCACAUUGGACUAGGACAAGCUACAAUUCUACGGCAGAAACACAAAAUCAUGCACCUACGGCUCUUGGAAACAAGGAAAAUGACCAAGAUUCUAAGCCUCCCCGGGAAGUUGUUAAUAUGGAGACAAUGUCGAAGCUCUCUAAAUCCGUCAAAAGAUUAAGAGAAUCUGAAACUCAAACUUUCGAAGUCAUUAACGAAACAAGUUCAAGAACCAUUGCAAAAGAAACUCUAGGCAAUUGGUCCCUACCAUUGCACAAUCCUUGUGAAAAUGUCAAAACUCCUUUCCAGGAUCCUUUGGAUAGUGGCGAGACUCAUCCAUAUGACAUUGGUCGCGGCAUUGCUGCAUCGAGGCCUUUGUUAGAUAAUCCAAGUCACUUAGCGUCUCAUCUUGUGCCACACCGAGAUCCAGGCCAGUACAUAACUAGCGAAGGGGGAAAGAAGCAGAAGCCUCGUAUUAGUAGAUCAUUCUUAGCUGCAAAAGAAGAAGUGCCAAGACUAGGAAUGUUGGAGCAUGAACAUGGGAGAUCGGUUACUCCAUAUUUGAGGCAGAAUGAUUCAUUCUUGCUAGAUGCACCCUCCACAAGAAGAAAACUUCUUCCAGAAUUUGGCGGAGAAGAGUUCCAGAAAAAUGCAGGUUGUUCCUUUGUUAGGUUGUUAAAAAAUGAACCUAGUCCUUCCCAUGUAACUGAAUCAAAAGAGUCACAUCCUGGCUCUUUUGACCAACAAAAGCUACGGCAUCCUUUGCUUGAUGUAGAGACAAUGAGAACAAGCAAUACCAUGGAUUCUGUAGUGGGAAUGGCUGGAUAUUGUCCCCGCGUUUCUCAAACAACCCAUAGUAUGUUAAUCACUGAAGGAGCAGAUGCUGAUCUGUUGGAAGGAAACAAUGUCAUCGGUAAUUCAAGGAAGUGGAGUAAAAUUAGUGGGAAAGCAUCAUCAAGUAAUCGUGAUAGCCCAUCUAAAUCUCUUGGUCAUUAUAAGGGAGGAAUGAAGCUUCAAAUUCAAAAUUUCUUCACAGGUAGUGAAAGAAAAGAAAAUAUAGAAGAUAGAAAGCCUACUGAAUUUGUGUUAAAGAAUGAAUCUUCAGCUGAAACUGAUACCAUGGACAUGGAUGUGUUUCAGGAGAAGAACCUGCUUUGUGGUACAAGUUCUUCUAUAGUAAAGAAGGUGAACAAAAUGGACCAAACUUUGCCCCGUCGAUUUGCACAUGACGGCUCCAGGAAAGAAGCUGGACACAAACAGUUCAAGUUGGAUAUAAACUUAGAGCUGCCUGCUCCAAUGGAUAAUAUGGAGGCAAGUUCUUCCAGAACUGAAAGUUUCGACUUGGGAUUGAUACUGCUCCAUGCUGAACAACCUAAUUCAUCAAGAGCUAAUUUCUGUCCCGAAGGGCUUCUUGGACAUGACCCUGCUAGUAGAUGGGUUAAGCGCCUCAAAGUGAGUACAUCCGGUUCUUUGGCUUUUGGUACUAAAAGCUCCAGUUUAGUAGGGGAAACAUCUAAUGAGAAAUCACUCAGCCAAAUUCCUAAAGCAACCAUAACUAGCUCCGAACUAGCACCUAGUAAACGUCAUGGUAAAGAAUUGAUGGUUCACGAUAACACUCCAGACUUAGCCAUGAACUCUAGGCCCUCUUCUAUGAGCGUUAUCAAGAAAGAUAUAGAGGUUUUGACUUCACAUUCUUGGAUUCAAAGGUUGCUUCGUGAUAGGGCUACCACUGCAACAAUGAGGCCCCAAUCGGUGGUGGUUUGUGAGCCUCAAACCUCAAAGUUGGAGCUUGAUGAUUUCCAGAAGAAACAACUUCCAAGCCUUGGUGCCAUGGCCCUUAUGGGUAAGGCAAUGAAUGGUUUCCAGCCAUGUGAAUUCCAUAGAAAAGGCCCUUUAGUUGUUUGGAACACUAGAAGUCUCUGAAAAAUCAACGUUGCCUUAUAAUGAUCAAGUGACCUGAUGCACUUUGUAGCUCGAUUUAAAUAUCUUGAUUGUUUUGUGGCUGAAACCGAGUUCAUGGGACAGUUAAACAAUGCCAACUUUACUUUCUGAAGAACACCGGUGGCCGACAGCUUUAAAUUUUUGAGAUUUGAGUAUUUACUUAUAGGAAGCAUAAUCCUUUUGACUAGUUUUUUGGUAGAUCCAAUCUGAAAUUUGGUUGUUCAAGAUUGUACCUGCCUUUUUCAUGAAAACAAUCAACUUGGUCUACAUUUAAUUAAUUAAAACAUGGUUAAGAGCAUA